AUUGAACGCUGGCGGCAGGCCUAACACAUGCAAGUCGAGCGGAUGAAGGGAGCUUUCUCCUGGCUUCAGCUGCGGACGGGUGAGUAAUGCCUAGGAAUCUGCCCUGUAGUGGGGGAUAACGUCCGGAAACGGGCGCUAAUACCGCAUACGUCCUGAUGGAGAAAGUGGGGGAUCUUUGGACCUCACGCUAUUAGAUGAGCCUAGGUCGGAUUAGCUAGUUGGUGGGGUAAAGGCCUACCAAGGCGACGAUCCGUAACUGGUCUGAGAGGAUGAUCAGUCACACUGGAACUGAGACACGGUCCAGACUCCUACGGGAGGCAGCAGUGGGGAAUAUUGGACAAUGGGCGAAAGCCUGAUCCAGCCAUGCCGCGUGUGUGAAGAAGGUCUUCGGAUUGUAAAGCACUUUAAGUUGGGAGGAAGGGCAGUAAGUUAAUACCUUGCUGUUUUGACGUUACCAACAGAAUAAGCACCGGCUAACUUCGUG
rnacentral:rRNA from 1 species